rnacentral:rRNA from 2 species
GAGUUUGAUCCUGGCUCAGGAUGAACGCUAGCGGCAGGCUUAACACAUGCAAGUCGAGGGGUAACAGGGAUUGCUUGCAAUCCGCUGACGACCGGCGCACGGGUGCGUAACGCGUAUGCAACCUACCUUCUACAGGGGGAUAGUCAAUAGAAAUGUUGAAUAAUACCCCAUACGAUCUUUGAAUAGCAUUAUUUAAAGAAGAAAGCUCCGGCGGUAGAAGAUGGGCAUGCGUCCUAUUAGUUAGUUGGUAAGGUAACGGCUUACCAAGACUUCGAUAGGUAGGGGUCCUGAGAGGGAGACCCCCCACACUGGUACUGAGACACGGACCAGACUCCUACGGGAGGCAGCAGUGAGGAAUAUUGGACAAUGGAGGCAACUCUGAUCCAGCCAUGCCGCGUGCAGGAAGACUGCCCUAUGGGUUGUAAACUGCUUUUAUACAGGAAGAAACACCUCUACGUGUAGAGGCUUGACGGUACUGUAAGAAUAAGGAUCGGCUAACUCCGUGCCAGCAGCCGCGGUAAUACGGAGGAUCCAAGCGUUAUCCGGAAUCAUUGGGUUUAAAGGGUCCGUAGGUGGAUAAUUAAGUCAGAGGUGAAAUCUUGCAGCUCAACUGUAAAAUUGCCUUUGAAACUGGUUAUCUUGAGUUAUUAUGAAGUAGUUAGAAUAUGUAGUGUAGCGGUGAAAUGCAUAGAUAUUACAUAGAAUACCAAUUGCGAAGGCAGAUUACUAAUAAUCAACUGACACUGAUGGACGAAAGCGUGGGUAGCGAACAGGAUUAGAUACCCUGGUAGUCCACGCCGUAAACGAUGGUUACUAGCUGUUUGGACUUCGGUCUGAGUGGCUAAGCGAAAGUGAUAAGUAACCCACCUGGGGAGUACGUUCGCAAGAAUGAAACUCAAAGGAAUUGACGGGGGCCCGCACAAGCGGUGGAGCAUGUGGUUUAAUUCGAUGAUACGCGAGGAACCUUACCAGGGCUUAAAUGUAAGUUGCAUUAGUUAGAGAUAGCUAUUUCUUCGGACCACUUACAAGGUGCUGCAUGGUUGUCGUCAGCUCGUGCCGUGAGGUGUCAGGUUAAGUCCUAUAACGAGCGCAACCCCUGUUGUUAGUUGCCAGCGAGUCAUGUCGGGAACUCUAGCAAGACUGCCAGUGCAAACUGUGAGGAAGGUGGGGAUGACGUCAAAUCAUCACGGCCCUUACGUCCUGGGCUACACACGUGCUACAAUGGUAGGUACAGAGAGCAGCCACUGCGCGAGCAGGAGCGAAUCUAUAAAACCUAUCACAGUUCGGAUCGGAGUCUGCAACUCGACUCCGUGAAGCUGGAAUCGCUAGUAAUCGGAUAUCAGCCAUGAUCCGGUGAAUACGUUCCCGGGCCUUGUACACACCGCCCGUCAAGCCAUGGAAGUUGGAAGUGCCUGAAGUCCGUCACCGUAAGGAGCGGCCUAGGGUAAAGUCGAUAACUAGGGCUAAGUCGUAACAAGGUAGCCGUACCGGAAGGUGCGGCU